AGAGGGGUGCAAGCGUUAAUCGGACUUACUGGGCGUAAAGGGCGCGUAGGUGGUAAUUUAAGUGAGAUGUGAAAUCCCUGGGGCUUAACCUAGGGAAUCGCAUCUGAUACUGGAUAACUAGAGUGCAGUAGAGGGGAGUAGAAUUUCCGGUGUAGCGGUGAAAUGCGUAGAUAUCGGAAGGAAUACCAGUGGCGAAGGCGACUCCCUGGGCUGUAACUGACACUGAAGCGCGAGAGCGUGGGUAGCGAACAGGAUUAGAUACCCUGGUAGUCCACGCUGUAAACGAUGAGUACUAGACGUCGGCUGGUUUAUACUGGUUAGUGUCGAAGCAAACGCGAUAAGUACUCCGCCUGGGGAUUACGGUCGCAAGAUUA
rnacentral:rRNA from 1 species